AGUUCCGAUUCACAAUUUCUGAUUUCCGAUUCUCGACUCCACGAUUCACGAUUCAUCAUUCUCGAUUCCAGAUUCGUCACCGUUCAACGAACGGAGAUAUCAUAAAGGUACAUUUCGAGAGUGAAACUCUUGAAAUUUAUUUAUUCGUGGAGCACGUUAUUGAGAAUGAUAAUUGCCAUGGAACGGUAUCAAUUAGCGAAAAAUAAUUCUUUAAAGUGUGAAUAUAUAAUUUGAGAGUGAAACUUAAUCGAAAGUUAAGUCGUUGUUUAGUGCAUAUUAUUGAGAAUGGCAAUUUGGAAUGGUAUUCUCAAUAGUAUUCGCAUAGUGUCCAUCUAGCGGAUUCUAAAAGAAAUAACCAAAUUCUCAAACGUUUUCGCAUUCUAAAUUACGAACUCUUGAUUAACUCUCAGCCUCUCUGUUUAGUAUGGAUUUCUAGUAUGAAACUAGAUUAAUACCUCGCCUGUUUAGUGGAUUUCUAGUAUGAAACAAGUGUACGUUUGACAUUAAAGAUAAUACGUAUUUCGAGUCGUUGAACCUGCGUAUUACGAAAAGUAAAGAGACAUGAGAAGAAAGAGAAGACGAGACAGGUUAAAAGAGUAAUUGGAAAAGGUGUUAUCAGGAAUAAGAAGGAAUAGAAAAGGAUAUAAACGGAUAAAAGUGAUAAGGAAAGAAGAGAAAGACGGUUCCAACUGGCGACGAAAGGUCUAUAAGAAAGAAAGAAAGAAAAUUAGAAUAAGGAGAGACGGAGAGAAUUCUCACUUACGAAACGAGAUUUUCGCCCAAUUCAACAACGACUGCAGAAUACAAGCCUGUUAAGAAUCGUGCAUAAUAACUGGUAUAGAAGAAUAUGAUAUUAUUUGUAUCUUAACAAACAUUGUUUAAACUUCAUUUCUUUUUUCUUUAAAUAGGAUAUUGCCGCACAACUAAAGUACUUAGGUAUACUAUGUGUAUAUCUACCUAUAAGUAUACAAGUCGAAGGCAAACUUCACCGGUGACCGCUUUUUAACCAAAUAAUACAGAGAGGGUAGAUUAUUUACUUAAGGAUCGAGGCACGUACGUAUACCUAUACGAAAUGAAAAUUUUAAACAUGUCUCCUAAUAUACCUACCCAUCUUAUAUGUAUUAUUCGUAGAUCGAUGGACUAGUUUUAUAUAUUAUUUAUUCUUCGACAAAUUAUUAUAUUAUCAUUAUCUAUUCUUUUUUUAUUAAACAUAUUUUCACGUAUGGAAUCAUCGAUAUCGUUCGCACUAUUUCUUCUAUAUAAACUUAUAAAAUCUUUUUAAUUUUAAUUUUUGUAAUAAUUUUUGCACUAUUAUUUUUUUUAUCUUUAAGUCGGAAUAAUUAAAUACAUAUCUUUAUGAUACAAUUCUCAAUUUUAUGUGCACGUAUUUAUAUGUGUGUGUGUGUGUGUGUGUGUAGUAAGUAUGUAAUGCAGGUAGCACCUUUCAACCUUUGACUAUUCGAGCAAAUACACAAAUUUUUGACCGAUGAUUAUGCUUCGUCACGAUAAACCUAGCUUAUUUUUCUUUCCCUUUUUUGUCCCUUCUUCUUCUUCAAACUGACUAGAUAAAUUCAAAUUUUCGAAAUCUAGCUUGCAUUCUUCUUUUCUUUCUCUCUCUUCUUUCAAAUAAUUUAAUUAAAAAAUAUCAAACGUUCAUGUUUGCUUGUACUACUUGUAAUAGUAUAUAGUUAAAUAUAUAAAUUGUAUCCAUGCACACAUAUUACUUACGUGAAACAUGUUUGCGUGAAGUACAAAGUUCGAUUUAUUAAACUUACGACGAUUGAUAAUUAUAAUUGAUGGAUCGUCGUAACUUUCACAUAUUUAAUGAUAACAAUUUAGGACAAACACCAUUUAAAGUCUUGUUAUCCCAAAAGUAAUUAACGAUUUGAUGGUUAAUUCAUCUGUUUUUAUCUUAGGGAUAAGAUUGUUUGAUUAAUACUUUGAUUAGGUAUCGCUCGCGAUAGAUAAAUCUUAAUUGAUGUCAUGUAUCGAUUUGGCAGUGUUUUUUGUGUAUAUGUAAAUGUUGUUAAUCAUACUUUAUCCUCUUUGAUUCGGUUUUAUUUAAACAGUUCAAAGUAUGUAUUGGAAAACACGAAGUAUCGAGAAAUCUGGAGAGACACGAGAGCCGAAAGGUGAUAAUUAUUCGACAAUAUGUAAUCACGUAUCAGUGAUAUAAUAAACGUUUAUAAAGAUUUACCUAAUCAUUCUAAAUUAAUAUAUAUAUAUGUAUAAAAUUCUCAAUUGUUAAUCAUAGAUGCGUAUCGUGCGACUUUAACAAGCAAUAUUCAAUUACGAA